rnacentral:rRNA from 1 species
UACGUAGGGGGGCAAGCGUUAUCCGGAAUUAUUGGGCGUAAAGCGCGCGCAGGCGGUCCUUUAAGUCUGAUGUGAAAGCCCACGGCUCAACCGUGGAGGGUCAUUGGAAACUGGGGGACUUGAGUGCAGAAGAGGGGAGCGGAAUUCCACGUGUAGCGGUGAAAUGCGUAGAGAUGUGGAGGAACACCAGUGGCGAAGGCGGCUCUCUGGUCUGUAACUGACGCUGAGGCGCGAAAGCGUGGGGAGCGAACAGG